rfam:Gorilla gorilla gorilla genomic chromosome, chr14, whole genome shotgun sequence
GCUGGGUGUGGUGGCACAUGCCUGUAGUCCCAGCUACAUGGGAGGCUGAGGCAGGAGGAUUGCUUGAGCCCAGGAGUUCGAGGCUGCAGUGAGCUAUGAUUGCACCACUGCACUCCAGCCUGGGUAACAGAGUGAGAAUCUGUCUCUA